rnacentral:rRNA from 1 species
UUUAAUUGAAGAGUUUGAUCAUGGCUCAGAUUGAACGCUGGCGGCAGGCCUAACACAUGCAAGUCGAGCGGCAGCGCAAGGGAGUUUACUCCUGAGGCGGCGAGCGGCGGACGGGUGAGUAAUACCUAGGGAUCUGCCCAGUCGAGGGGGAUAACAGUUGGAAACGACUGCUAAUACCGCAUACGCCCUACGGGGGAAAGAAGGGGACCUUCGGGCCUUUCGCGAUUGGAUGAACCUAGGUGGGAUUAGCUAGUUGGUGAGGUAAUGGCUCACCAAGGCGACGAUCCCUAGCUGUUCUGAGAGGAUGAUCAGCCACACUGGGACUGAGACACG